AGCGAACGGACGAGAAGCUUGCUUCUCUGAUGUUAGCGGCGGACGGGUGAGUAACACGUGGAUAACCUACCUAUAAGACUGGGAUAACUUCGGGAAACCGGAGCUAAUACCGGAUAAUAUUUUGAACCGCAUGGUUCAAAAGUGAAAGACGGUCUUGCUGUCACUUAUAGAUGGAUCCGCGCUGCAUUAGCUAGUUGGUAAGGUAACGGCUUACCAAGGCAACGAUGCAUAGCCGACCUGAGAGGGUGAUCGGCCACACUGGAACUGAGACACGGUCCAGACUCCUACGGGAGGCAGCAGUAGGGAAUCUUCCGCAAUGGGCGAAAGCCUGACGGAGCAACGCCGCGUGAGUGAUGAAGGUCUUCGGAUCGUAAAACUCUGUUAUUAGGGAAGAACAUAUGUGUAAGUAACUGUGCACAUCUUGACGGUACCUAAUCAGAAAGCCACGGCUAACUACGUGCCAGCAGCCGCGGUAAUACGUAGGUGGCAAGCGUUAUCCGGAAUUAUUGGGCGUAAAGCGCGCGUAGGCGGUUUUUUAAGUCUGAUGUGAAAGCCCACGGCUCAACCGUGGAGGGUCAUUGGAAACUGGAAAACUUGAGUGCAGAAGAGGAAAGUGGAAUUCCAUGUGUAGCGGUGAAAUGCGCAGAGAUAUGGAGGAACACCAGUGGCGAAGGCGACUUUCUGGUCUGUAACUGACGCUGAUGUGCGAAAGCGUGGGGAUCAAACAGGAUUAGAUACCCUGGUAGUCCACGCCGUAAACGAUGAGUGCUAAGUGUUAGGGGGUUUCCGCCCCUUAGUGCUGCAGCUAACGCAUUAAGCACUCCG
rnacentral:rRNA from 1 species